AGUGAACGCUGGCGGUAGGCCUAACACAUGCAAGUCGAACGGCAGCACAGUAAGAGCUUGCUCUUACGGGUGGCGAGUGGCGGACGGGUGAGGAAUACAUCGGAAUCUACUUUUUCGUGGGGGCUAACGUAGGGAAACUUACGCUAAUACCGCAUACGACGUCCGGGUGAAAGCAGGGGAUCUUCGGACCUUGCGCGAUUGAAUGAGCCGAUGUCGGAUUAGCUAGUUGGCGGGGUAAAGGCCCACCAAGGCGACGAUCCGUAGCUGGUCUGAGAGGGUGAUCAGCCACACUGGAACUGAGACACGGUCCAGACUCCUACGGGAGGCAGCAGUGGGGAAUAUUGGACAAUGGGCGCAAGCCUGAUCCAGCCAUACCGCGUGGGUGAAGAAGGCCUUCGGGUUGUAAAGCCCUUUUGUUGGGAAAGAAAAGCAGCAGGUUAAUACCCCGCUGUUCUGACGGUACCCAAAGAAUAAGCACCGGCUAACUUCGUG
rnacentral:rRNA from 1 species